AUUCAUUCACCUUAAAAAAAAAUCAAACCACAAGCUUCAAAAAGGAAAGGGGAUGGAGCACAGUGUAAUUUCAUCAUAUCAAGUGGCCCAUGUGAAUUGCAGAACACACAGGGCAAUGACAGUUUUAUCACAUAACAUAACAAAAAAUGACCAACACAACAAGAAUAACCAAUACUGUAUUAUUACAUUUAUGAUCAUCACCGCACCAUGGUGGCUUUGAAGCUUUUCUUGUGCAUCCCCAGACAGUCAAACUUCUUAUCACACUAACAGAUUCCUAUUUAUGGGUCUUUACUUAUCAUACAUUUAUAACUAUAUCAAGUACUACUACUAUUCCACAUUAAAUACAAGAUUCCUGUAUUUAUAAUAGCAAGCUUGUAACACUUGAGACUAAUUUAUGGUUUAAUCAAAUAAUCACAAUUAGCAAACCUUGGCA
rnacentral:lncRNA from 1 species